UCCCCGCUCCAGCCAACCACAGAAAAGUUAUGGCGCUGCUUCUGCUGGUGCCAACAAAAGUGGGUGGAGCCAAGACGUUUAUCUUUCAGAGCAUGUACCCAGGCACCCAGUAGGGAUCCAACUCAGUCCCACAUCCACUUCCAGAUAGGAAGACCGCCUGUUGGAUGAUGUAAGGUUGUCCUGGGAGACCUAGUGGGUGUUGAUGAUGACCACUAGCGACAGCAGUAACCAAGUGUUUCUAAUGUAGGAGGACUGUGUGAGCAUAAGAGAGACACAGAUGAGCUACUUGGUAAUGAGAAGAUGCUGUAGUUCUCUCCUGCCAAGGAGCCAGUGGAUUGGCCUUUGGUGCCAAGAACAAAGCGUGGGUCUCCACAUGGCCACCAUUCUGUGGAGACAGCACACUCAGAUUCCACAGGGUAGAAAUGUCUGCUCUCCAGCCCCAACCAGAUGACAGAUUCUAAUUUUCUUAACCUUGUGCUCAAAGGGCAAAUCAUCUCACACUUUGGGGUUGGAAUAAAUUAUCCUCAAGCCCAAA